GCGACCUACAGUGUUUGAGGAAUAUAGGGUAUAUGAAAAUGCCUGGGAUAACUGACCUUCCUAUCAGCAGUUUGCUAUCAACUUUUGCAAGGAACCAAGAGGCACUGCAAGGACUAUUGCAGCUCCAGUUGACUUUCAGAUGCAAGUACACAGGUUUAAACUUCCAACUUGGAGUGGCUCAGCUCUUUUUUGUAAAGAUGCUUUUGCUCUUUCAGUAGCAACAAAUCUUACAUUUUGUGACAAGCUAUUUCCAGGACAACCAGCUGUGAUAUGACAGAAAAUUACAGUUUAAGUGAGGAGGAAAGAGAAGGAGCAGAUGAUAUCUCAUAACCCUGCAAACAAAUCCUGUUGUCAUGAAAAGUAUGCCUAUUAAUAGACUAUAAAGAUGAAGAAAAACAGGUAUGAUUUACAAUUUUUAAAGGAC
rnacentral:lncRNA from 1 species